rnacentral:rRNA from 1 species
AGUGAACGCUGGCGGCGUGCUUAACACAUGCAAGUCGAACGAGAACGGAUUAUAGCUUGCUAUAAUUGUCAGCUAAGUGGCGCACGGGUGAGUAAUGUAUAGGUAAUAUGCCUCUUACUAAGGGAUAACAAAUGGAAACGUUUGCUAAUACCUUAUACUUCUUAUUAACAUAAGUUAAUAAGGGAAAGAUUUAUUGGUAAGAGAUUAGCCUGUAUUGUAUCAGUUAGUUGGUGGGGUAAUGGCUUACCAAGACUAUGACACAUAACUGGUUUGAGAGGAUGAUCAGUCACACCGGAACUGAGACACGGUCCAGACUCCUACGGGAGGCAGCAGUGGGGAAUAUUGCACAAUGGACGGAAGUCUGAUGCAGCAACGCCGCGUGGAGGAUGACACAUUUCGGUGCGUAAACUCCUUUUAUAUGAGAAGAUAAUGACGGUAUUAUAUGAAUAAGCACCGGCUAACUCCGUGCCAGCCGCCGCCGUAA